GUGCUGUUGAAGAGUCCCACAAUAGGAUGAAACGACCGUCCAGUGC
rnacentral:hammerhead_ribozyme from 1 species